AGUGUAUGGGGCCAGCUACCACUCUAUGAGCUCGAUGGCACGAGCAGCGUUCUCUGAGGAUGGGGCCCUGAUGGAUGGUGGCAUGGACCUCAACAUGGAGCAGGGCAUGGCAGAGCACCUUAAGGAUGUGAUCCUACUGACAGCCAUCGUGCAGGCUCCAGGCCGGGCCCUUUACCUCCUGUGGGUGAAUGUGCUGGGCCCCUGGUUCACUGCAGACAGUGGCACCCCAGCACCAGAGCACAAUGAGAAACGGCAGCGCCGACAGGAGCGGCGGCAGAUGAAGCGGCUAUAGCCAUUGACAUUGUAGCCACAGGCCGCUGGCCCUGGGUGGCUCUGUCAGGGUGCACAGCCCCCCAUGCCUGGAGCAAUGAGGGUCUAGUCCAGGGGCCAAAAGCAGUCUGAGGUAUUGGGUAUACUUAUACUCUACAGGGUUGUUGAAUAAAUGGCUUAGAAUGUG
rnacentral:sRNA from 1 species